rnacentral:lncRNA from 1 species
GACGACAACCGACGGUGGCGACCGUCUCCUCCUCCAUAACCAAUCCUCACCACCACCACCGUCGCUGUUACGCCACCGCACCAGAGCCCAACCGAAAAGCUAAAUCCAAUUCUUCUCUCACCAAGCUACUCCCGUCACUACCGCAGCAACACUCACCUUCUCCUGCUCCAGUCUCCGCGACUCAUUCUCUCUCUAAUCACUUCUCUAACAUCGUAAGAUGGAUUCCAGAUGGCUCGUUGGAGUAUUACGCUGAUUUCGCCUCGAAGCUCGCUGAGGAUGGCCGAAUUGAGGACGUCGCUCUCAUCGCCGAGACCUUGGCUGCAGAGUCGGGAGCUAAUGUGGCACGCUUCGCUUCCAUGGUUGAUUAUGAUCUCUUAUCGAAAGGGAUUUCGUCGAAUCUUCGACAAGGUAAGAUUGAGAGCGUUGUUUACACUUUGAAGAGAAUUGAGAAGGUAGGGAUUGCUCCAUUGGACCUCGUCGAUGAAACGUCUGUGAAACUAAUGAGGAAACAGUUCGUUCAAUGGCUACCUCUUUGCAAGUGGAGAAAGCUAUUGACCUAAUGGA